rnacentral:rRNA from 1 species
CGUUCUCAGUUCGGAUCGGAGUCUGCAACCCGACUCCGUGAAGCUGGAUUCGCUAGUAAUCGCGCAUCAGCCAUGGCGCGGUGAAUACGUUCCCGGGCCUUGUACACACCGCCCGUCAAGCCAUGGAAGCCGGGGGCGCUUGAAGUGCGUUGCCGCAAGGCGCGCCCUAGAGCGAAACCGGUGACUGGGGCUAAGUCGUAACAAGGUAAC